rnacentral:piRNA from 2 species
UUAUUGUAGAUAAAAGGGACAGCAUACCAGA